rnacentral:lncRNA from 1 species
CACACUGUAGUUUCGUGCUAUUUAAUUUUAACUGUAUUAAUUUUGUACUCUAUGUCUGUAUUUUUUUUUCUUUUUUUUCGUCGGCUACUCUCCGUUAAUAUUUUUUUAAAUUACAUAUCAAAAACUUCAGAUGCUCCAUCUAAAUUUAUUGAAUAUUUACUUUAGCAACUAAACCUUUUAGUUUUAAUUUUGUUACUGAUUUAACGGAGAAAUAAAACUCUAGGUACUAAAUUGAUACAUUUUAACCUAUAAAAUUGUAAAGUGAGAAAAGGCGAAACAACAGGGUUGUUUUUAAAAUUUUCUCUUAAUAAUAAAAAAUAAUAAUAAAUGGUAAUGGAUUGGGGGGAUUGGUUGGGGAUAAAAAUAUUUCUUCUUUGUUUACCAUUUAUUUAUUUAUUAAAUGACGGAUUUGCCCCUGGGGGAAAGGAAGGAAAAUCUUGAGGAUAUCCCCUGGAUGGGAUAUACUGGGAUUUCGGCGACUGGGUUGCAUUCAUUGCACUGUUGCUCCCCCAAUUAUUUCUCAUUUAGAUUUUAAAUUUUAAUUUAUUAUAAUUUUUCGUUCGAAUUUUUCGAAUUAUACUGAUCAGAUCACGGUAUCAAAUUUAGCUGACUAAAUAUUGAUAAAUAAUUAAUGUAGAAAUGAAAGUUGAGCUUUCUUGCUUUCAAAAGUAUUAGAGCAUUUGUACUUGCGACUUUUUUAGCUAUGAGAUUGUCUGAACAUCCGUGCAGUACUAAUAAAGAAAACUUAACAGGACACGUCGUUACUCUAUCGUACUAGUACUGUACGGAUCUUGAGACGAUCCAACGGCUAAAAAGUCACGAGCACGAGCUCAACUCGUAAAAGUGGUACAGUAUCUUAAUUAUUGUCGCAUUAUCUAUCAUAAUACUUUCACGUUAGUUCUAUAUUAGCAAUUUGUUCAUAUUUAGACAAUUAGAUUAGAUUGUGAGGGUUAAUUGUAAUAAUUCAGAAAAGUUUGAACCAAAAAUUACAAUAACAAAUUAAUAUUUGAGGACGAAAGUGUCCUGACACUCAUAGUUUGAGGAUCAAAAAUAUAAUUUAUCCAUUUUUUAUU